rnacentral:lncRNA from 1 species
CCCAAAGCCUAAGCCGAAACCAAAAACCCAAAGCCUUUGCUUUGAUUUGCAGAGAGAAUCCAAAACAUUUGUCUUAACAAAAAUAAGAACUCAAACUGCAGAUUCUCUCUUUCCCUCACAAGACAAACAUAUACAUACAUAAACACGGGUAAAAACAUACAAACAAAAGCAUUUACAUACAUGUAUACAUACAUAUAGAGAGAGAGAGAGAGAGAGAGAGAGAGAGAGAGGCGGGGGAAGGAUAGUUCUAUAACUCUAUUCCAGUAAUUUCAAUCAGGUCCUACUCUUCUUGCUUCUUAUCCAAUAUGUAAGUCCCCUCUAUUGCUAAAUUUUAUUGUUAUUUAUUAU